AUUGAACGCUGGCGGCAUGCUUUACACAUGCAAGUCGAACGGCAGCGCGGGCUUCGGCCUGGCGGCGAGUGGCGAACGGGUGAGUAAUGCAUCGGAACGUGCCCAGUAGUGGGGGAUAGCCCGGCGAAAGCCGGAUUAAUACCGCAUACGACCUGAGGGUGAAAGCGGGGGACCGAAAGGCCUCGCGCUAUUGGAGCGGCCGAUGUCGGAUUAGCUAGUUGGUGGGGUAAAGGCUUACCAAGGCGACGAUCCGUAGCUGGUCUGAGAGGACGACCAGCCACACUGGGACUGAGACACGGCCCAGACUCCUACGCGAGGCAGCAGUGGGGAAUUUUGGACAAAGGGGGCAACCCUGAUCCAGCCAUGCCGCGUGCGGGAAGAAGGCCUUCGGGUUGUAAACCGCUUUUGUUCGGGAAGAAAUCCUAUGGGCUAAUACCCCGGGGGGAUGAUGGUACCGGAAGAAUAAGCACCGGCUAACUACGUG
rnacentral:rRNA from 1 species